GUAGUCGUGGCCGAGUGGUUAAGGCGACGGACUAGAAAUCCACUGGGGUCUCCCCGCACAGGUUCGAAUCCUGCCGACUACG
rnacentral:tRNA from 2 species